rfam:Candidatus Giovannonibacteria bacterium RIFCSPLOWO2_12_FTLL_44_15 rifcsplowo2_12_scaffold_2263, whole genome shotgun sequence.
AAUCGCUAGUAAUCGCAGGUCAGCUAUACUGCGGUGAAUACGUUCUCGAGUCUUGUACUCACCGCCCGUCAUUGCAGGGAAGCCGGGAAUACCCGAAUACCGUUUUAACGGUAGAAGGUAAGCUCGGUGACAAAGCAAAAGUCGUAACAAGGCACGGCUAGCGGAAGCUGGUCGUGGAGUUUCAUUAAU